GUAAGACAAUAACAUAAAAAUGGCUUUGGACAUUUAAGAGAAUUGCUCAUACCCAAACAAACCAUAUGAUGUAAAAAUCAACUGUGGAACCAAAUCAAGAUUGGAUCAAAGAGCUGAUUGACUGUAGGCCUCCACGUCUGCCACCUAAACAGCCACCGAACUUCAUCAUCCUGGCUAGAUCCCACAGGUAAACUGUCAUAAUAUACCUAGGAUCUGAGAAGUCUGUUUCAAGCAGUUGCGCAGGAUGAGCCUACUCUCCAGUGGUGCCCACCAAUCUGAUGAAACCACUGCUUUGCCGUGAGACAUUAUGUGGGUUAUAAAGAUGGUCAAAGGAAUAUUUCCACUGAGGUCUGAUCUCCAUGACCACCAAGACAGAAGCAAGCCCUGCCAACCUUCCCAGGCGGAAGGAGAAUUUGAAGACAUAUCCUGUGGGAUAUUCUAUCUGUUCCCCUGAAGUGCAUGAAAGCAAAGAAGGCCAUUGAUCCCACACAGAGGUACCAAUGGCAGGGAUGCUGAGAAUCUACCAAAUAAAUCCAUAUUUUGUUUUUAUUUCAUGGGUUCCGACUUCGUGAGCGUCGUGACCCAUAAGACAUGGCUUACGUGCAUUGAUUCAUUCCUCAAACCUUUUACUGAGUAUCUAUUUCUAGAAGAAUCCGGCUCCCAUAAUUUUGAACUCAGUUCCUUAGCUGUUCUCGCAUCUACAAAUGUUGAAAUAACUUUAAAAUGACAAGUAAAAUACAGACUAUUCUGCA